AUUAAUAUGCCCACCGCCUAUGUCGAACGGGUCAGCUUCUUUGCUAGUUAGGCCCUGUGCGGUUAUGGAUGCUCCAUCUGUUCCGGUUUGGGAAGCUGGAUGCAAUUAAUUUGCAUAAAAUUAAAACUGAUGGCAGAUUCGGAGACCAGUUGUGAUGAACAGAUUUGAUUAGAGCUGCAACCCCUGCUACAUGAGGGCAUGCCAUUGACGUUCCCGAUAGCAGUGCAUAACUAUGGCUAUGUUGUAUGCCAACCGAUGGAUAUGCAGCCAAGAUGUCCACACCUGGGGCUGCUAUGUCGGGCUAUAUAUGCGCAUUGUUAAUUAAUUGGAAUAGGAAUGCAAUUAUUCACAUAGCAUGGAUAUUAUUUGGAACCAAAAGGAAAGUAUGUGUGUUCCUACUUCAUAAUCAACUUUAACGCAUGGAAUAUCACAUGACCCCAACCCAUCCUCAUGGAACUGAGCAUAUAUCACUCCAAUCCCUCCUGCUUCUUUCACAGAGGUUGAUGCAGAUUCUAUAU